rnacentral:rRNA from 1 species
AGAGUUUGAUCAUGGCUCAGGAUGAACGCUAGCGGCAGGCCUAAUACAUGCAAGUCGAACGGCAAGUCGAGUAGCAAUACUUGACCUAGAGUGACGUACGGGUGCGUAACACGUAUGCAACCUACCCAAAACAGGAGUAUAGCUCGGGGAAACUCGAAUUAACCCUCCAUAAGAUAGUAGCAGAGCAUUCUGCAGCUAUUAAAACUCAGGUGGUUUUGGAUGGGCAUGCGUUUGAUUAGCUAGUUGGUAGUGUAACGGACUACCAAGGCGAUGAUCAAUAGGGGAACUGAGAGGUUGAUCCCCCACACUGGCACUGAGAUACGGGCCAGACUCCUACGGGAGGCAGCAGUAGGGAAUAUUGGUCAAUGGAUGCAAGUCUGAACCAGCCAUGCCGCGUGCAGGAAGAAGGCCUUCUGGGUUGUAAACUGCUUUUGUCAGGGGAUGAAAAAUUCCUUGCGAGGAAUAUUGAAGGUACCUGGCGAAUAAGCCACGGCUAACUACGUGCCAGCAGCCGCGGUAAUACGUAGGUGGCGAGCGUUGUCCGGAUUUAUUGGGUUUAAAGGGUGCGUAGGCGGUCCUAUAAGUCAGUGGUGAAAUAUCUCAGCUCAACUGAGAGGGUGCCAUUGAUACUGUAGGACUCGAGUGAAUUUGAGGUAGGCGGAAUUGACGGUGUAGCGGUGAAAUGCUUAGAUAUCGUCAAGAACACCGAUAGUGAAGACAGCUUACCAAGCUUCAACUGACGCUGAGGCACGAAAGUGUGGGGAUCAAACAGGAUUAGAUACCCUGGUAGUCCACACUGUAAACGUUGAUUACUCGCUGUUGGCGAUACACAGCCAGCGGCUAAGCGCAAGCGAUAAGUAAUCCACCUGGGGAGUACGCCGGCAACGGUGAAACUCAAAGGAAUUGACGGGGGUCCGCACAAGCGGUGAGCAUGUGGUUUAAUUCGAUGAUACGCGAGGAACCUUACCUGGACUAGAAUGCCCUUGACCGAUCCAGAGAUGGAUUUUUCCGCAAGGACAAGGAGCAAGGUGCUGCAUGGCCGUCGUCAGCUCGUGCCGUGAGGUGUUGGGUUAAGUCCCGCAACGAGCGCAACCCUUAUCUUUAGUUGCCAGCACGUAAUGGUGGGGACUCUAAAGGGACUGCCUGCGCAAGCAGAGAGGAAGGAGGGGAUGACGUCAGGUCAUCAUGGCCCUUACGUCCAGGGCUACACACGUGCUACAAUGGCGUAUACAAAGUGUUGCAAGCCAGCGAUGGUGAGCCAAUCACAAAAAGUACGUCUCAGUUCGGAUUGCAGGCUGCAACUCGCCUGCAUGAAGUUGGAAUCGCUAGUAAUCGUGCAUCAGCAAUGGCGCGGUGAAUACGUUCCCGGACCUUGUACACACCGCCCGUCAAGCGAUGGAAGUCGGGAGGACCUGAAGACAGUAGCUGUAAGGCGCUGUUUAGGGUUAAACUGAUGACUGGCGCUAAGUCGUAACAAGGUA